UGGCGGCGUGCCUAACACAUGCAAGUCGAGCGAGGAGAUCCUUCGGGAUGAUCCUAGCGGCGGACGGGUGAGUAACACGUGGGCAACCUGCCUCAUAGAGAGGAAUAGCCUUCCGAAAGGGAGAUUAAUACCUCAUAACAUUGCAGUUUCGCAUGGAACAGCAAUUAAAGGAGUAAUCCGCUAUGAGAUGGGCCCGCGGCGCAUUAGCUAGUUGGUGAGGUAACGGCUCACCAAGGCGACGAUGCGUAGCCGACCUGAGAGGGUGAUCGGCCACAUUGGGACUGAGACACGGCCCAGACUCCUACGGGAGGCAGCAGUGAGGAAUAUUGCACAAUGGGGGAAACCCUGAUGCAGCAACGCCGCGUGAGUGAUGACGGCCUUCGGGUUGUAAAGCUCUGUCUUCAGGGACGAUAAUGACGGUACCUGAGGAGGAAGCCACGGCUAACUACGUGCCAGCCGCCGC
rnacentral:rRNA from 1 species